UGAAAAUGAUAGAGGAACAAUGAAGAUGACUGAGUUCAACAUGUGGGUUUACCUGUUUACCUUACAUUGGGAAGGGGGGAUCUGUGCUGGAGUUCACCUGCUGGCUCCAGGCUAAGCUAUUGCAGCACGAGGACACAGGUGCUGUAAGGUCAUUAUGCUCUGCUGUUGGCUCUCAGAUGACACUGCUUCAGAAAAACGGGAUGUAAAGCAUGUGGUCCCACAUAGAUGGACAGGCGGAGGGCAGAGCUGCUCUGGUAGCUCAUGACGUGGUUCACUGACACCAUCUCCAGGUCCAGCACGUACUCCUUGGGUCCAGUCACGGCUCGGGCCAGCACCAGCAUGGCGCUGAUGUUAUUGAUUUGCUGUGGUGAGGACAAGGGAGAUCAAAGACACAGAUAAACAUCAGUUGAGUCUGUGAAGUGUCACCUUUGCUUCACCUGUCUGCUGAUCCACACGACUUCCAUCUAAAUGUGAAACAGGUCCUUAGGACAAGAGACGCCUUUAAUCUCUCAACCUCAUAACCAAGUGUCAGUGCUGUGUCAUACGUAGCCUCCACACAUGUAUAAGGAAAACAUGGAAUUCAUAUAUAAAUAUGUAUAAGAAAUGAAGAUGUGCAUGCUCCAAUUGUUCUAUCAAUAUAGAAGUAGUGAAUUAUUCAGAAGUUACAGAGCAGUCAAAUCUGAGACUGUGACCCACACAUGACUCACUCAUGAUCAGGUCACCCAUCUUUAGACAUCCAUCACACAUUAUGCUAUAGGCCUACUGGCUAGAAAUGUCUGAAGAAAACUCUGAUU